UACGAAGGGAGCUAGCGUUGUUCGGAAUCACUGGGCGUAAAGCGCACGUAGGCGGAUGUGUCAGUCAGGGGUGAAAUCCCGGAGCUCAACUUCGGAACUGCCUUUGAUACAGCACGUCUUGAGUCCGAUAGAGGUGAGUGGAAUUCCUAGUGUAGAGGUGAAAUUCGUAGAUAUUAGGAAGAACACCAGUGGCGAAGGCGGCUCACUGGCCCGGUACUGACGCUGAGGCGCGAAAGCGUGGGGAGCAAACAGG
rnacentral:rRNA from 1 species